UUCACCAAGAGCCUUCUAUGCGGUUCUCACCAAAGUUGAUGUUUGUGCGAUUCUCACCAAAGUCGUCUUGUCCAGGGAUCCCUCUCGUGAUGGUGCCAGUGAAUACCACACCCCCUCGCAACCGUGGCAAGGAGACGAACAGACCCAGCCCCUUCUCGCAACCAUGGCUUUGGAGACGGACAACACAACCGAACCCUAGACCAAUUUAUGACAGAAAAUGAGAAGUUUCGGUUCUCAUUCCGGCUCAAGUUCUUAGACUGCAAGAGGGGAAGAUAAAGUGCCAGUGGAGAGACCAUUUUGUUAUUGUGGCAUCCAAGCGAAAGUACAGAUUUCUGGAAAGGCCCAUAAUUUUGGUAGAAUAUUUUACAAUUGUCCAAAAUUAUAAGAAUAAAGCACAACGUGAAUUUUUUGAAUGGAUUGAUCUUCAAAGUGAUCACAACAACUGCUAUAAGAUGAUGUUAGAGUUAGCAGAAUGAAGAAAUGAGAGGGUACUUCAUGAACGUCCAGGCAUCGAACAAUCCAAAUUACAAGUAAUGGAGAAAAAGUACAAGGGAAUGUUGAAAAUGUUGUUCAUAUCAGGGUUAUUUUUUUCAUAUUUUGUAUUGUAAUUUUGAUGUUGCCAAAGAACGACAAUGUAUGUUGGCCAAUGCUGCAACUCAUAUAACUCGCUGUAAUUUGUUAGUGUAAUGGACAUGAAGUGAAUGUAAUAGACGUGUUUGGAACA